GAUGAACGCUAGCGAUAGGCUUAACACAUGCAAGUCGAGGGGCAGCAUGGUCUUAGCUUGCUAAGACUGAUGGCGACCGGCGCACGGGUGCGUAACGCGUAUGCAACUUGCCUCACAGAGGGGGAUAACCCGUCGAAAGACGGACUAAUACCGCGUACACUUGGAGGGAGGCAUCUUCCACCAAGGAAAUGAAUUUCGCUGUGAGAUAGGCAUGCGUCCCAUUAGCUAGUUGGUGAGGUAACGGCUCACCAAGGCAACGAUGGGUAGGGGAACUGAGAGGUUGAACCCCCACACUGGUACUGAGACACGGACCAGACUCCUACGGGAGGCAGCAGUGAGGAAUAUUGGUCAAUGGGCGAGAGCCUGAACCAGCCAAGUCGCGUGAAGGAUGACUGUCUUAUGGAUUGUAAACUUCUUUUGUAGGGGAAUAAAGAACGGUACG
rnacentral:rRNA from 1 species